AUGCGCUCCUCCACCGUUGCCUCCACCACCGGUUCAACGAGGCUGCACGUCGGUGACCUUCCUCGUGCCCCAUUCCCAUAUCUCAUGGCCACAAUGCAUGUCUCAGAAAGGCCAACAAUCCUGCUGCACUAUCUAUUGAUUUAUCUUAUUCUUGUCAAUUUCAUAGUUCAAAACUGUACGAUGCAAACAAUUGAUACUCUUACCUGGAUGCAGAUUUGUCACCGUCUUACUUCCUCCACGACUCAGAUGCUUCAGACUGUCAGGGAAUACAACAUCAAGGACGACAUGGCAAAUAAGAUCGAGGGGCUUGGGCAGGGGCACCCCAGCUUCUACCCGCCCGCGUCGUGGAUCCCGCCUUCAAUCACGAUGCCUAGGUCACAUUUGAAUUAG
rnacentral:rRNA from 1 species